rnacentral:lncRNA from 1 species
ACUCACACAACACAACACAUUCCUUCAUUAUCUUUCUUGGAACGUCAUAUUGAGUGCCUUGGAAUUAUGCUAUGUGAAUUUGACGUAUUUGCGUUCAGUGAAUCAUAAUUCGCACCUGACGGGGUUAACUUAAGUACUAGCUGCUUCUGAAACCUAGGUUGAAAUCCCGUACGUUCUGUAAUGUCAUCAUGGGAAAGUAACAUCAGUGACCAAAUGAAGAUGGGGUAGUGUCAAAACAAGAGUAUGAAUCCAUGAUAUUGUGAGCUGUGGUAGACAACUACAUAUGAUUCUAGCAAAUAUAAUUCCAUAUAAUAUUUUCCCCUGUUUUCAGAAGACAUUUCAAUACAUUUGCCAUCUGUUUCUGUUUAAAUAACCAUGCCCGAUUAAAAAUACCAAGACACCAGAAUGCAUGCUAUGCAACAUGGAAAGUGGCAUAAAAACGGUCUUCAAUGCGCAAUUGCAGUCUCAACAUAAAGGUCAGAAGAAAAUUACUAAAAAAAAAAACAACAACACUUAGCAGAACAAUAGGCAAAUUUUCAGUGAAAUGGCUUCGUUAUGCAGUUCCAUCAAUCGUAAUAAUGCUUCUAAGAAAACAACACAUAAGUUUAAUUAAUUCAACAUCACUAGGCACCCCUAAAGCAGACGAAUAAUUAUAAAAUAGCUCCAAAAACUAGUGAGUCUAAGGGAACCUAGAGAUUAAGCCAGUACCGACACGAGUUUUAGAAGUUUUCGUAUUGCUCUAAAUAAAAGACUGGUGUCGAGAACCCCGAAAAGAGUACCGGGGUACCUCGGAACAGAUUGAACACAUUUUUUAAUACCGCUACCUCAAAAAAACACUUUUGGUUUCUAAACUGACGGGGCGGUUUCACGGUGACAAGUCAACAAAAUCUCACAUAUGUCUAAGUAACAGGGUAAAGCAAUUCAUGAUGUACAGGGAGCACUUCUAUCAUCUGCUGUCAGUUACACGUAAACAACGAUGAGUAAAUGGUGAUCAAGCAGCUUUACCAACUGGGCUGAGUCAUCAUGACAAUGCCCAUUGCGGUGGGGCUGGCUUGCAAAUGUGGGGCAAUGAAAAUAUUAAAAACAAACUAAAGAAUUUUAUACGCGUUUACUGACUCUGGUGAGUGGACAGCGUUAUUACUGCAUGGCAAAGACAUGAGAAAUGUCCCUCUUGCGAUGCUUCAAGAUCGUGUCAGUAAUCAUUUAAUAAAACAAGAUCAAUCAAACCAUAUUGCACACAGAAAAAAAAAAACGAAAUCUAUGGAAGAGACCUCUCAGAAAAAUGCAGGAAAAUGACAAAACACAGCCAUUUAGAUUCUACAUGAUUUACCAAAAAUAUACGCAGCUGUUGAAAGUUUACGAGCUCGGAAUCAGUGUACAACAUCAUGCAUAGUGCAAAUAUUGGCACUUGAAAUUGUCAACCCAAGUCUGCUGUCAAAAACUUGGUUGGAU